AAAGGGCCAGGGACUGGCCCAAGGUCUCGUCCUGCGACCCAUUCUCAUUCCCGGACUUUACUCUCCCCGGCAACCCCCGGAAGGAGCUAGGGAAAAACCUUCAGAGACAUCCCUGGGGAAGACAGCUGGAAGGCAGGGCGUGCCAGGGCUGUAAUGGUGUGGUGAUGAGGUGGUGACGAUGGGACUGUUUCCCCCUUUUGAGAAAUGCUCUGGCGUCAGACAAGUCCUGGGGGGCGGAGGUAAGAGGAAUUUGGCAGGAUCUGGUGAGAAGGCAUCUGGAGGCCGAUGGCUGCAGCCACAGUUCACGUCCCUCCCACGCACGUCCGCGUUCCAGGCCCGGAUGCUCCGCGCCCCGGGCUCCGGCGAAGGGCACGAAGCCACUGAUUAGGAAGCGAAAAGGAAAAAAAAAGUCCCGGCUUCUAGAAAGACUUGAAUGUUCGACCCCUGCCUGAGUCUGACUUGGCCCUGCAACGCCACCAAGUACACGACUUGGAGUUUGUCGCCUACCUGCUCACAGGCCUCGGCGCGCGCGUUAAGGUGGUGGAGACGGCGGCCGCAGCCCUUCCCUCUCCAGUUUGCUUUCUAGAGGCAGGUUGAGAGAAGAAACGUGUGAGCGUGUAAUUACAGAAUGGGAUCAGGUGAGGAAGGAGACAGACCAGGUGCAGGAUGGAAAUGGGCAGGCGGUUCCUUUAAAAUGAAAUCUAACCCUUUGGGGCUGCGCCGGGCUGGCUAAAUUUGUCACGUGUCUGAGGCCUUAACUCCUGCCAGCCACCCAGAGCCCUUGUGGCCCGACUGUCACUUUGCCGGGUGGAUCCUGGGUCACCUUCUGAACUCUCUGCCUGCCUGGUGAGCCCCUCAGGGGCCAGGAAGCCUGGUCGUAUCUCACACUCUGGAGACUCAUGGGAAUUCCAUCUAACGCAUGUGGCCCAGAUCCCUUUGGUUUCGAAGCCAGGCACUGGUGAGACACAUAAAGAAUACUUCUUGAGGGGAUGGGCGUCCCCACACUCCAGCUGACUGUAGGAAGGACAGGAGGAAGAAGGGCUGUCAGCAAAGGAAUCAUGCUCAGGAAACCGUCCAUGCCGGAAGUCAGCCCGGGAGCCCUACUGGACCCAGAAUGUCCAUGUCACACACACAGGCUGGUGGACUCAGAAAGGCACAUCACACACACAGGCUGGUUAGGAGAGACGAAGGGUUGAGGGCAAAAAACUGACUGAUCAGCCUCUCCUCCGGAAGUUUGGGCCCUCAGAUGUUGCCUCGAUUACCUAUCGCAAGGAAGAAAUGCCAGAAUUCACCCAGGCCCUUGCUGACGCAGGGCACUAGAGAGAGAGAAACCACUGGGCUGAUUAUCUUGGCUUUAUCCUCCACAUCUGUUUCAGCUCAGCAUCUCUGCUUCUCAUCUUUAAAGAGAUGGCUGCAAGGCUAGAGAAUCUCAGAGCUGGAAAGGGUCUGAGAGACCUCACAUCUCACCUCCUUCUUUCGGAGAUAAGAGCCGUGUCACUUGAGAGGCCGUGACUCACUCAAGGCCACACGGCGUGGGGGGUGGGGGGUGCGGGGUGGGGAGCUGGGAUUGCAGCUCUCCCUUCCCAGGCCAGAGCUUUUCCCAGUUCUCCAAGCUGCCUCUCGGAUCCCGCCAAGUUGUUCCCACGCUGGCCUGGUUUAGGCCUCAUUAGUAAGAAAAGCUGGCUGUGGUCCUUUCUCAUCCCCCCACCCCCACUGCCUCUCGAAAAAGAAAGGAGAUGCUCUUCCAGAACAGAGCCAGGAUGGUUUUGCUUGUCAUCUGAUGUCUGGGAGUGCCCAUGCCAGGCUCCACUCCAGGGGUACAGCUCCUUGCCCUCACAUGGUGUCAUAAAAGAAUUCACCCUCCUGCCAACCUUGAGCAUAGAAGGCCGUUUCUCAGCUGGGACUCAAGCCACCUUGGGGGCCAAGACAUCAGAGAGACUGUGCUCGGCUCUUACCAGCUGUGUGCUCCUUGGCCAAGGUCUGUCCUUGGAAGGCAGGUGCUCCCCAAGGAGUCCCAACCCCAUUUCCUGGCCAGUCACCUUCACCCAAGCCAAGUCGAGACUCUCUCUGGAAGGUGCUCCACAUCCAUUCUGGAAGGGAGGAAUAUUCCCACCUCCAGUCCUUUUUUUAUUUCCAGCCACACUUCCAGUAGUCAUGUACGGAUAUGAAAGUUGGACUAUAAAGAAAGCUGAGCGCCGAAGAAUUGAUGCUUUUGAACUGUGGUGUUAGAGAAGACUCUUGAGAGUCCCUUGGACUGCAAGGAGAUCCAACCAGUCCAUUCUGAAGGAGAUCAGCCCUGGGAUUUCUUUGGAGGAAAUGAUGCUGAAGCUGAAACUCCAGUACUUUGGCCGCUUGAUGCGAUGAACUGACUCCUUGGGAAAGACCCUGAUGCUGGGAAAAAUUGAAGGCGGGAGGAGAAGGGGACGACAGAGAAUGAGAUGGUUGGAUGGCAUCACCGACUCAAUGGACAUAAGUUUGAGUAAGCUCCUGGAGUUGGUGAUGGGCAGCGAGGUGUGCUGCAGUCCUUGGAGUCCCAAAGAGUCAGCCACGGAGGAGCGACUGGACUGACUGACACUGCGUGGCUUAUGGGAUCUUAGUUCCCCGGUGUACAUGCUAAGUCGCUUCAGUUGGUUGACUCUGCGACCCUAUGGAUCAUUGCCCGCCAGGCUCCUCCAUCCAUGGGAUUCUCCAGGCAAGAAUACUGGAGUGAGUUGCUAUGCCCUCCUCCAGGGACUCUUCCCACUCAGGGAUGGAACUCCCAUCUCUUGCGUCUGCUGCAUUGACAGGUGGAUUCUUUACCACUAGUGCCACCUGGGAAGCCCCUUAGUUCCCCUACCAGGGGUCAAACCCCGGGCCCUUGGCAGUGAAAGCACUAACCACUGACCACCAGGGAACUCCCCCUCCCUAUUUUUUUUUUUUAACAGAUGUGGAAAUCCAGGUUCAGAGCGGUUAAGUUACCUGCCCAUGGUCACCCAGCUAGUGAGGGGCAGAGUCAGAAUUUGAACUCUGGUUCAAACCCAUCUCUUUCUGUGGCACCCCUCCACGUGCCCCAAAGGAGCUCGAGGCGGGGCCCAGAGGCUGGCAGGACAGGGCAUGAGGGAGCACCAGUGGGGAUGAGGGAGGCUCCCUCCAAACCCCACAGGGCCGGCUCUGGGGCAGGGACUGGCUUUGGAGUGGAAGGGCCCAGCGUGACUGGGAGGCAUUAGUCAGCGGUGGAGGUUUAUGAAAGGAGGAAUUGUCCGGAGCCUCCUUACUCACCAGGCCAACUGGGCUGUCCCAGAGAGCGGGAGCAGGGCCGGUAUCAGAAGGGGACCGGGAACUCCGAGCUGCUCACUGCCCAGGUUGAAUGGCCCCAGGCAUCUGGGGGCCACGCUCGGGGGCCCUGUCCGGCCUCACGGCCUGUGAGUCACAGUCCUUGGCUGGCGGGCUGAGUGUCUUCAUUGUCCUCUCGGCCAGGGGACAGCGGGGCCCGACUCCCUCCUCCUGGGAGAAAGGACGCCCCGGGCUGAUUCACCAGUUUAUCACCCUGCUGCCCCCUCCGUCUGAGGCCCCCAGCAUAUUCACCUCCCAUCCCUUCUUCAGUCUUUCAUACAGUCAUUCUUUUUCUUAUUGUUGUUUUGCGUCAAUCUUUAUUUUUCCAAUUUGCAACAGUAAUCUAUUGACUGUUAUUCCGCCUUAAAAGGGGAUGAAAUACUGACCUACGCUACAGCAUGGAUGAACCUUGAGGACACUAUGCUAAGUGAAUAAGCCGGCUGCAAAAGGACAAAUUCUGUAUGAGUCCGUGCAUGUGAGGUUCCUAGAAUAGUCAAAAUCUUCAGGGCAGAAGUUAGAGUAGAGGUUGACAGGUCAAGGGGAGAAGGCAGCAGGCUUUGUGCUUUAAAGGUGCAGAGUUUGAGUUCGGCAAGGUGGAAAGUGUUCUGGAGAUGGACCGUGUUGAUGGUGGCAAAGCAAAGCUGAUGUACUGAGACCGUACACUUCAAAAUGUCUAAAACCGUAAAAGUUUAUAU
ensembl:lncRNA